GAUGAACGCUGGCGGCGUGCCUAAUACAUGCAAGUCGAGCGAACAGACGAGGAGCUUGCUCCUCUGACGUUAGCGGCGGACGGGUGAGUAACACGUGGAUAACCUACCUAUAAGACUGGGAUAACUUCGGGAAACCGGAGCUAAUACCGGAUAAUAUAUUGAACCGCAUGGUUCAAUAGUGAAAGACGGUUUUGCUGUCACUUAUAGAUGGAUCCGCGCCGCAUUAGCUAGUUGGUAAGGUAACGGCUUACCAAGGCAACGAUGCGUAGCCGACCUGAGAGGGUGAUCGGCCACACUGGAACUGAGACACGGUCCAGACUCCUACGGGAGGCAGCAGUAGGGAAUCUUCCGCAAUGGGUGAAAGCUUGACGGAGCAACGCCGCGUGAGUGAUGAAGGUCUUCGGAUCGUAAAACUCUGUUAUUAGGGAAGAACAAAUGUGUAAGUAACUAUGCACGUCUUGACCGUACCUAAUCAGAAAGCCACGGCUAACUACGUG
rnacentral:rRNA from 1 species